GACUUGUGUGUGUUGCUGUUCAGCGGUCUGCAUUCAAAAGAGUGUUACGACAUGCGGCAGUGGCGCCGUAAAAUCUUCAACUGGAUCGCAACUGGACUUAAUUGCCUGGUUGCAGUCAUUCGGUUGAUCGUUUACUGUGAGAAAAUUAGAGUGUUCAAGGCAGGCAUUAUUGCAAUUGAAUAUGUUAGCAUGGAAUAAUAAGAUAAGGCUUUCGCGUUUAUUUUGUUGGUGUUCUGGAGCUGAAGUAAUGAUUGAUAGGGAUAGUUGGGGGUGCUAGUAUUCAAUGGCCAGAGGUGAAAUUCUCGGAUUCCUUGAAGACUAACUUAUGCGAAAGCAUU
rnacentral:rRNA from 1 species